UACGUAGGGCGCAAGCGUUAUCCGGAAUCACUGGGCGUAAAGGGUGCGUAGGCGGGUCUUUAAGUCAGGGGUGAAAUCCUGGGGCUCAACCCUGGAACUGCAUUGAAUACUGGGAGGCUAGAGUACUGGAGAGGAAACUGGAAUUUACGGUGUAGCAGUGAAAUGCGUAGAGAUCGUAAGGAAGACCAGUGGCGAAGGCGAGUUUCUGGACAGUUACUGACGCUGAGGCGCGAAGGCCAGGGGAGCAAACGGG
rnacentral:rRNA from 1 species